rnacentral:rRNA from 1 species
CAUGCAAGUCGGACGGUAGCACAGAGGAGCUUGCUCCUCGGGUGACGAGUGGCGGACGGGUGAGUAAUGUCUGGGGAUCUGCCCGAUAGAGGGGGAUAACCACUGGAAACGGUGGCUAAUACCGCAUAACGUCGCAAGACCAAAGAGGGGGACCUUCGGGCCUCUCACUAUCGGAUGAAUCCAGAUGGGAUUAGCUAGUAGGCGGGGUAAUGGCCCACCUAGGCGACGAUCCCUAGCUGGUCUGAGAGGAUGACCAGCCACACUGGAACUGAGACACGGUCCAGACUCCUACGGGAGGCAGCAGUGGGGAAUAUUGCACAAUGGGCGCAAGCCUGAUGCAGCCAUGCCGCGUGUAUGAAGAAGGCCUUCGGGUUGUAAAGUACUUUCAGCGGGGAGGAAGGCGGUGCGGUUAAUAACCGCGCCGAUUGACGUUACCCGCAGAAGAAGCACCGGCUAACUCCGUGCCAGCAGCCGCGGUAAUACGGAGGGUGCAAGCGUUAAUCGGAAUUACUGGGCGUAAAGCGCACGCAGGCGGUCUGUUAAGUCAGAUGUGAAAUCCCCGGGCUUAACCUGGGAACUGCAUUUGAAACUGGCAGGCUU